rnacentral:rRNA from 1 species
UACGUAGGGUGCAAGCGUUGUCCGGAAUUAUUGGGCGUAAAGAGCUCGUAGGCGGUUUGUCGCGUCUGCUGUGAAAACCCGAGGCUCAACCUCGGGCCUGCAGUGGGUACGGGCAGACUAGAGUGCGGUAGGGGAGAUUGGAAUUCCUGGUGUAGCGGUGAAAUGCGCAGAUAUCAGGAAGAACACCCGUGGCGAAAGCGGCUCUCUGGAACGGUACUGACGCUGAGACGCGAAAGCGUGGGGAGCGAACAGG